rnacentral:misc_RNA from 1 species
UAUGGUUUUCUCUAGCAGUGUUUCUCAUAUAAAUUGUAUUCAAAUUAUUCAUUCUGAGUCAACUUAAAGUAAUAUUAACGGACUUUUAUCCCAAUUCUAUUAGAUAGCCAUGGUUUCCUUGCGCUGUCUCCAAAAAACAAUGGUUUCCAUUGCCAUGUGAAAAUUUCCUUGCUUGGACCUUGGGUUUCAUGCAAAUAAUGAGGUACUAAAAGGAAAUGGUUACAAUUACAUGUGCAAAGAUAAGGCCAUGGGGGCAGAAUUAUCAUACAUGAAAAUGCUCAAGCAGGAGUUCCUGUGCAUUGCCGUGAAUGCACCAUAUUGUGUGUCAUAGUUAUUAAAGGCGCACCUCUGACAUGCCUCAGGCUCAAGGCUCAUAAGGCUCGAACCCUAGCGCCUUAUGUGCCUAGGUGUGCGCCUUUGUUCCUAACACAAGAUUCUGGAAAGGCAUGCCUUCUUUAUUUCCAUCUUUAGCGAGCAC